rnacentral:rRNA from 1 species
ACGAACGCUGGCGGCGUGCCUAAUACAUGCAAGUAGAACGCUGAGGAGAGGAGCUUGCUCUUCUUGGAUGAGUUGCGAACGGGUGAGUAACGCGUAGGUAACCUGCCUUGUAGCGGGGGAUAACUAUUGGAAACGAUAGCUAAUACCGCAUAACAAUGGAUGACACAUGUCAUUUAUUUGAAAGGGGCAAUUGCUCCACUACAAGAUGGACCUGCGUUGUAUUAGCUAGUAGGUGAGGUAAUGGCUCACCUAGGCGACGAUACAUAGCCGACCUGAGAGGGUGAUCGGCCACACUGGGACUGAGACACGGCCCAGACUCCUACGGGAGGCAGCAGUAGGGAAUCUUCGGCAAUGGGGGCAACCCUGACCGAGCAACGCCGCGUGAGUGAAGAAGGUUUUCGGAUCGUAAAGCUCUGUUGUAAGUCAAGAACGGGUGUGAGAGUGGAAAGUUCACACUGUGACGGUAGCUUACCAGAAAGGGACGGCUAACUACGUGCCAGCAGCCGCGGUAAUACGUAGGUCCCGAGCGUUGUCCGGAUUUAUUGGGCGUAAAGCGAGCGCAGGCGGUUUGAUAAGUCUGAAGUUAAAGGCUGUGGCUCAACCAUAGUUCGCUUUGGAAACUGUCAAACUUGAGUGCAGAAGGGGAGAGUGGAAUUCCAUGUGUAGCGGUGAAAUGCGUAGAUAUAUGGAGGAACACCGGUGGCGAAAGCGGCUCUCUGGUCUGUAACUGACGCUGAGGCUCGAAAGCGUGGGGAGCGAACAGGAUUAGAUACCCUGGUAGUCCACGCCGUAAACGAUGAGUGCUAGGUGUUGGAUCCUUUCCGGGAUUCAGUGCCGCAGCUAACGCAUUAAGCACUCCGCCUGGGGAGUACGACCGCAAGGUUGAAACUCAAAGGAAUUGACGGGGGCCCGCACAAGCGGUGGAGCAUGUGGUUUAAUUCGAAGCAACGCGAAGAACCUUACCAGGUCUUGACAUCCCGAUGCUAUUUCUAGAGAUAGAAAGUUACUUCGGUACAUCGGUGACAGGUGGUGCAUGGUUGUCGUCAGCUCGUGUCGUGAGAUGUUGGGUUAAGUCCCGCAACGAGCGCAACCCCUAUUGUUAGUUGCCAUCAUUCAGUUGGGCACUCUAGCGAGACUGCCGGUAAUAAACCGGAGGAAGGUGGGGAUGACGUCAAAUCAUCAUGCCCCUUAUGACCUGGGCUACACACGUGCUACAAUGGUUGGUACAACGAGUUGCGAGUCGGUGACGGCGAGCUAAUCUCUUAAAGCCAAUCUCAGUUCGGAUUGUAGGCUGCAACUCGCCUACAUGAAGUCGGAAUCGCUAGUAAUCGCGGAUCAGCACGCCGCGGUGAAUACGUUCCCGGGCCUUGUACACACCGCCCGUCACACCACGAGAGUUUGUAACACCCGAAGUCGGUGAGGUAACCUUUUGGAGCCAGCCGCCUAAGGUGGGACAGAUGAUUGGGGUG